AGUGAACGCUGGCGGCAGGCCUAACACAUGCAAGUCGAACGGCAGCACAAGAGUGCUUGCUCUCUGGGUGGCGAGUGGCGGACGGGUGAGGAAUGCAUCGGAAUCUGCCCAUUUGUGGGGGAUAACCUCGGGAAACCGGGACUAAUACCUCAUACGACCUACGGGUGAAAGCAGGGGAUCUUCGGACCUUGCGCAGAUGGAUGAGCCGAUGCCGGAUUAGCUAGUUGGAGGGGUAAAGGCCCACCAAGGCGACGAUCCGUAGCUGGUCUGAGAGGAUGAUCAGCCACACUGGGACUGAGACACGGCCCAGACUCCUAAGGGAGGCAGCAGUGGGGAAUAUUGGACAAUGGGCGCAAGCCUGAUCCAGCCAUGCCGCGUGUGUGAAGAAGGCCUUCGGGUUGUAAAGCACUUUUGUUGGGAAAGAAAAGCAGCCGGUUAAUACCCGGUUGUCAUGACGGUACCCAAAGAAUAAGCACCGGCUAACUUCGUG
rnacentral:rRNA from 1 species